rnacentral:lncRNA from 1 species
UCGGUAUGCGGAGCUUCAUCAAUCAAAUGGCUGUAAUGACGGACUUUAUUCGAUGCUUUUAUGCAUGUAAUGUUGGUUUCCAAUUGCACUGAUUAGUUCAGCAAGUGCUAAGGAAGUCAAAUUUGUGGUUAGCAUUAGUACUAUUGUGGUGCCAAACCUCUGUGCUUGAAGGGAACAUAUUGAAUCCCUCAGAUUCUAGAUUGGUAACAAGUUGUUUGAGUGCACCUUAGAAUUGGUAACUGCAGCCUUUCGACAUGUACUGAAACAAUGCCGGGGCGAAUUACCAACAGGGAUCAAUAACCAACACCUCCCAUGCAUAAGUUAGGUAAAGACUGGCUUUUUCUUUUGUACGUGUGCCAUUGUGUGGUGUCUAUAUCUGAUAGCGGCGUUUACUUGCUACAGGGGACUAUUAUUUGAAGCAAUACGUGAUGGCUGAGCCAGAGGUCACGGAAAGCAAGAGAACAAAGUUGGACGACUUCCUUGUGAUAACAAGCGAUGGGUUAUGGGAUGCACUCUCUAAUGAGGUUGCCCGCCAGGUCGUGAGGAGAUGCCUCAACGGACAUAUAAAGAGGAGGUUCCCUAAGGAGCUGAGAGGAAGUAAUGCCACCGAGGUGGCUGCGGUGCUAGCUGAACUAGCUGUGGCUCAAGGUAGCCAGGACAAUAUCAGUGUGAUUGUGAUCGAGCUGAAGAAACCAAACUAGUAAAAUGUAAAUAGGUACUCUGCAACUGAGAACGUUUCUUUAUGGCCGGUGUUGGGCUAAUCAAUGUUCAUCUUAUAUAACGACCUCAAGUUGUUAUUAAAAUGCCAGAUCCUUUGUGUCAUUGCUUUGUGUUGUUUAUCUUUUAUACCUCAAAUGAUGAACUUUUUUCCCAAGAUUGACAAUUACAACAACAACAUUGUGUUGGAGACUGUUGAAUCUCUACCUGUGACAGAUACUAUCUCUAUAUCCAUCCAUUAGGUGGAGUCCACUUGAGCUUACUACACGAUAUGCCAGUCUUGUUCAAUUGGUAAACUUGAGAAUGUCGAGUUCAGGGUACAAGUGGUUCCUAACUAGAAAAGAUUAUGAAAAUAGAUUAUGACCCAACCUCACUUUUUGGUACACAGAUCCUCUGCGUGCAUAAUGAAAAAGUAAAGUAAAGAGGAGUGCAGGAAAUUCAUGAACAAAGUCAACAUGGGAAGAGCUCUCUCCAAAUGAGCAAAAGUAAACUUUCAUACCUUAAAUUCUUCAAAAACCGAAUAGACACAGCUCUUUUGCAAAAGGCUAUAUCCUAAUAAACACAAAAAUUGUUGCAAAGCUUUUUAAAAACACAAUCAGCAAACUAUAAUCGGCAAAGUUCAAGAAACAAAAAGGACUCCGCAAACUAUAAGGAAGCCCUUUCUUUUCUCACUUCUCAGCAAAUCAUUCUUUGGUGUGGAACAUCUCAGACUCUCUUUUAAUCGGCAAAGUCGAGGGGAAAGAGGAUGAGCACCUGUUUUAUAAUGUCUCUUCACUCCUUUCGUCCUCCAAUCCUCACCCUUAUUCAGCUUGGAAGCAGGUUCCAACAUCAUGAAGCGAAGACAAAAAUUUUCAAAAAGAAAGAAAGCGAGAACUUUCUGAGGUCGUAUCCAACAAGUAUUGCUGCACAAUCCUUUACAUCCCUGAAACCCCAGAAAAACUGUGCAAUUACUUAUGAAGCUGGAGUAUCUUCCUAUGCCAUAGUGUAGCUUGAGAUGGAGAUGUCCGCUUGAGGCGAAGCGUGGAUGUACACAAACUCGAGGCUCUUCCCUGAAGGUAAGGAUUGGAUCCAAGAAGGGAACACAUACAAGUCGCCAGACUUGGUUACUGCCCACAGAGGACCGUAGAGCUUGGAGAUCAACAGGUUGACAUAUUUCAGCGUCUUGUCCAACUUGUCGGUCACCACCGUCAAGUAUCUGUGGUAAGUUCUCCCGUUGGCAGUCCAUGACACCGUUGGCUUCUGCUCGGUGGACAGCUCGUUGGAAGCUGUUACUGGAAUCAAGAAGGCAACAGCAGAUGAGUGAGGUAAUUGAAUCACAGAAUUAAUCAAAGAAAACAAGGGAAGGCAGAGGAAAUUGUACCAAGAGCGGGACUUGGCUCUGCCAUGGCUGCUUUCGGCGCAGGAACAACCACUCCAUUGAAUAGAAACCCAUCCAUCAGAUGCCGAAAUAUGUCAAGACAUUGCUUUUGUCUGAAAUAACAGCAAUUUUCAAAGAUCAAAUACUUGGAAGGAGCUGACCGUAACCGCCAUGACCACCACUCAACCGGACUAAUAUGCCAGGGAAUGGAGCGUUGUUGUGAGUAGCAGGCUCCAUUUGCUUGUAAUUGUCUCUUUGAUCAGCAAAGUUAUCAUAUGCAUUGGGGCCACUGACGAUAGUACCUGAGGAGAUUGGGUUCGCUCGCUUUCCAGCUAAACCAAGUGGCAUAACUGCCUCAGCAGUUCACCAAGGACGAAUCCUCCUUGAUGGACGCGAUGGAAGCCGCCCAGUGAUGGACCUGCCUUGGGUAGUUGUUCCCAUACCUAACCACGUAGCUCGUGGCUCUGGGGUUGUCUCCCAUGGUAUAGUCCACCUGCAUAUGUUCAACAUUCAUGGCCAGAAUGUUAUUCCAUUGUAUCUUGAGCUAAGGAAAGAAAUCGAGAUUUUCCAAGCACAAACAUCGAAUUGUCACAUUUUCCUCAACUAACUGAUUGUAUCAAUGACUAGGACACGAUCAGAAAGAUUGUAUUGCCUGAGAUUUCGCAAAGGAGGGGAGUUCUGAUGAUUGAAUGCUACCGGAUUGCAAGCUUUUGCCUGAUGAAGAACAAGGAAGGUAUAAGUCAUUGCAAUCAGCUAAAAUAUAACAAUAACAGGGAAGAACAAGGAAGGCGUAGCCUGUAUGAUCCCUUCCGCAAAAAGCACUAGAUCACCAACCAGGACUCUCGCUUCUUGAAAACUUGGCUGCAGUGACCUAACAGGGGUCGACAGAGAAUGGACUUCAAAACUCUUCAUUAUAGAAGCCACUGCAGUAAGUCGCCCCGAACAUGAAGAUGGCUGGUCAUAUCCAUCAUUUGAUAGUGGAAAAUUAGGAUAAAGUUCGAGCGGGCUCGAUAAGUCAUCGACUGUAUCUUCUUCAACAUUGUCAAUGUUGAGGUUAGGUCGCGACAGUCAACAUCUACGAAACAAAACCAGGACAUCAAGGUCUGCACAUAACUGGCUUGCACAUUUUCAUUCCUUUCAACUCCCAUCGAUCCAGCAUAUUGACGUACGCUUCAAUUUUGUUCUUUUACCAUUGCCCCAGCAUUCUUGACCUAUCAAUCCAGCAUAUUGAUGUCCACUUCAACACCAAGUAAACUAGUUCCACGCAAUUAUUUGCAAUCAAAUACACAGGCAGAAAAAUGGUCCAGCCCAAAGUACCGAGGACGUAGCCGAAGCUCUUGAGGCAUUCCUCGGGCUGAGCAAGGUCGCUGUGGUUCUUCUUGAUAACCUCGUUGCACUAACCUAACAGCUCCUCGGACGACACGGUCCCAGACGACAUGGAGUCGAGCAAAUUGAGAUCAGUACUCGUAGUCAACACGCGUCGGUUCACGCACUGAAUGAAGGUCGAAGAAGCUAAAUCUGCGAUCAAAACACCAAAAAAUCAAUCGGUUGAGAAGAAGGAAAACGCAUGACCCGAAAUAAAAAUCAUCCCUUGCAAAUAUUCUCGGCUCACAAUCCAAAGGAAACGCCAAGGGCCUGUUUGUUUGUGUUCCUGGUCGGUGUUUAUGAACACAAUUUCUUUUUCUUUUUUUCUGAAACAAAAAAUAAAUAAAAAAGCAUUUGUUUAGAUUUUUGUUUAAAAUCUAUUUUCUAUUUUCAGGAAUAAAUUUGAAAUAGAAACAAUAAAUUAAAAAAAAAAACUUGUUUCAAAUACUUUCAAGAAACAAUUUCUCUUUCUCUUCAUUUUUUUUCUUCUCUUUCUUCUCUUCUUUUUUUCUUUGGCCGGUGGUCAGCGACCGGCCAUCGAGGGCCGGCAACCUUCGUUGAAGUGUCGCCGGUCCCUGACAAGGCUCAACCUCGCCUUGGCUAGAUCAGCUCGAGCUCGCCCAGAUCUGAUGAGGUCGAGCUCGCCCAGUUGCCGAUGAGCCUCGGCCUCGCCAGGCCACCGCCAAGCGGCUUUGCUAAUGGCUAGGCUAGCUCAGCCUCGCCGUGGCUGGGUGAGCUCGAGCUCACCGAGCUCGCCCAACCACCAGCGAGCUCAAUCUCACUUGGCCAAGGCAAGGCCGUCGGCCCUCAUUAACCGAUUGCUGGCCAUGGCCAAGACCAGCCACCGACCAAAAAGAAAAAAAAAUAAAAAAUAAAAAUAAAAAUAUUAAAAAAUUAAAAAAUAUUAUAUAAAUUUACUAAAUAUGUUCAGGUUCUUUUUUUAUUUUAAAAAUAAAUUUAUUAAAUGCGUUUUUUUAUUUAAAAAUUAUUUUUUGGAGCUGAAUCCCUAAAACAAUUUUUGAACAUAAACCCCAAGUAACUAGUUGUAGCAAGUGAAAUGAGAAGAGAUUCAACUCAGUGACACGAUUCACAGCUUUAAUAGCUAGAUGGAACGAGAAUCGAAAGAAGGGAGGAGAGAGGACCGAGAAGGAUGGAACGGCAUUGGCGCUGCUCUGCAGUUGGUUGCAGAAAUGGGAUCCUCGAUCUCAGCCGCCACGGCAAAUUAAUGCGCAAAUGAAAGCUAUGCCGGAGCAGAGACGGAGCAAGUGACGGAGCAAAGAGCGAGCACUGGAGCAAAGACAGAGGAAGCGACAGAGCAGCGAGCGAGCACCGGCAUAGAGAUCGAGCGAGGGUCGAACGACAGCGAGGAGCGGCCGCUUGACGAACGCCGGAACAGCAACAACAAGCGUGGAGUAGCAAAUGAGAGCAAAGCAGAGACUCAAAAUGUGAAAGCCUUCGCUCGCUUGAGAGAGGAAUUGCUAUUUUUCUCCUUCGAAGGAAAGAACGAAAAAGAGGAGAGAAAAUAUAAUAAAUGCGUGCGGAUGAUCAUUUUAAGUGCAGAAAUUCCGUACAACGCCACAUUGAUCCACGUGGUGCUUCUUGAUUGAUCUGGGACCUUCCAAUAUUUUCUUAUCCGUAACGGAUCGAACAAUUUUUAACAUUAGGGGUGAUCGGUUCCCGGUUCGGUCCGGUUCCACCUUGGAACCGGGAACCGGACCGGGAGCACCGGUUCCCAAAAUUGCGAACCGUGGACCGGACUGUUUGGUCCUAGGACCGGGAACCGGACCGACCAUCGGUUCCGGUCCGGUCCGGUCCGGUCCAACAAAAUUGGCUCUACUUUUUUGCACUAAAGAGUGAUCGUGCUUCGGAUCGAUUAAUCCAAUUCGGUUCUCGAGCAAUUCAACAAAACUAAUCACACAUAUUUCCACGUACAAAAUAUUCAAAUGUGAUUCACACUUCGUGUGUUUCACACUUAACUUUAACCAUGAAAGCCGUGAAUAAUUUGGCUAAAAGUUAUGCAUGGCUUAGAUUUUAUAGACAAUCUCUGCUCUUUAAAUGUUUAGUCAAUGUGGGACUCUUGGAGGCUUAAAGUGCCUUGUGGGUCUCUUGGAACCUUAGUCCCACAUCAAGUAGAAGAUGAAACUAAUAGAAAAUGAGAAAGAAAAUUGACAAAAACUGAGAAGGAAUUGGAGGAAUUUUCUGUAUUGUGUAUUGCUGUGUUUGUACAUGUAUUACACACCUAUUAAUAAUACAAGAAAAGAGUACAAUAGGAAAGAAUAUACAAAAUAGGUUGUGUUCCUAUACUGCUGUCCUAAUAUCCAAUCUCAUGGAUUCAUAGAAUUAAUUAACCGUAUUUAGAUAAUUAGAAUAAAAAAAAUCAUAUUUCCAACAAAAAUUAACAAGGAGAUUUUUUUCUAUAAAUAAAAGAGUAAUAAAAAUAGUUUUAAUGGUCUCUUGGCCACGUAAGAUGAUGCUACCUCAAAUUGCAAUUUUAGUUGCAAUAAGUUAUUAUGUUUAUAUAUUUUAUUAAUUCUAUGUAUAUAAAUUAUAUAUAAAAAAAUUUGUUUCGGUCCGGUCGGUCCAGUUUGGUCCGGUUCCCACCUUAGAACCGGGAACCGGACCGACCGGCCACCGGUUCCAAGAUUAGGAAUCGGGAACCGGACCGCCAACCGUGGGAACCGCCCAAAACCGGCCAGUUCGGUCCGGUCCGGCCGGUUCUCAGUUCGGGCGGUUCCCGUUGCACACCCCUAUUUAACAUUGCAAAGUUAACGAGUUUUUUUCCUGCAGACCAGUGGAGCUGUCUUGCCAUGCGAGUGCUUUAGAGCUUUAUCACCAGGAAGCGGCUAAUGGGUUUGGCAAUUAUCCACCAUUUAGGCCAUUCUGCUUAGAAACUUCCAACCAAUUCGCGGUACAAAACACGAGCCCAAAAUACGAAAUCGAGGAAAAGCAAGAAGGAACCGAGCAGAGAGAAUUAGCAGGUGAACUUCUGCAAGACAAUUAUGUGACCUACAGCCUACCUUUUUUAAUAUAUCUACAUGUUAUUUGAUAAUUACACACAUUAAUGUUAGAGAAAUUAUUAAGUGACAGUCUCCAAUUUGCUAUGAUAAUAACAGUUUGUUUUAGAUCACAAAAAACUAAUUAAAAAUUAUUGUGGAUCUACUCUUUCAAGAAUUAGUAACUCACAAUAAAUUAUUAUUUUCACAGUAAUUCAAAAACUGUUAUGAUAGCAAAACCCUUAAUGUAAAGGAAAAUGUUAAUGCUGUCACCUAAUGCAAUUUCACCAUGCCGAUCAUAUGAGUAUUUUGAGUUUUGAGUGACAUCAUGUGCUUCUUUAUCAUACACAUCAUUUCAUGUGAAAGCCCUAUUGUGAAAUCUCUCUCUAGUGUGAGAUUGCUGGGAACAAUAAGGUCAUGUGUCAAUCGCACCAGUCUUACAAAGUCUAUGAAAUAACUUGGUUUAGGAGUUGUGGGUGAGCACAAAAAGUUAUGCUAUAAUUCGAAAUAGCAUAUACUAAAUAAAAAUUAUUUUGUUAACUAACAUGAUUAAGGAAUUUGCUACUCUUUUCGUGAUCUCGACUUCAAGCCUUGUUGAGAGCUCUUCAGAAGUUAAAUCCUAAAUGCAUUGGGCUGAUAUUGGGGAAAUGUUCCCUUAGGAUAGCCUUAGAAGUCAAACAUCUAGUUGAGGCGCAUGAAAACUAACUCUGACACUAUUUGACCUCCUCCAUAACAAAAAAUCACUAUAUAGAGCCAUGUCAGGUAUAUUCAAUCAUUUUCAGCUGGGCAUUAUUUAAUUAUAUAUAUUUUCCAAAUUUGUGAUUAUCUAGAUGUUCUGUAAUUCCCAUUUUCGAGAUAUUAAAUAAAAUUUAACUUUCUUCAUCAAGCGGCAAUCAUUCUCUAAUAUUUCAAAAAGAUUGAACUCUUCUAGACAAAUUAAACGUUAUAAAUAGCAAAUCACUUGAAAGCUAUUUUCACUUAGUUCUUGUUUUUUUUCUCUUUUUUUUGGGGGGGGGGGGUCUUUUGAUGAUACAAUUUGGGAGGGAAUUCUUAUUGGGGAUCAAAGUUCACCAUCAAGAAGAGUCCACAAACGUUAUUGUCAAAGUCUUGACUAAGAAAAUGCGACAUAGGAAAAAUCAAAAGCAGAAGAAAGAGGUGCAAUCAUGUGCUUGCGCUUGUUAAUCUCAUAGGACAAGUUAGGUAUCUUUAGAGUGCGUUUGAUAACCAUUCUACUUUCUGGAACAAUUUCUAAUAAAAAAUAAUUUUUUUUAUUCUAAUCUUGAAAACAAUUCUUAAGCAUUUUAAGUCAUUUGGUAACUGUUCAAAAUUUUUAUUCCCGGAAUAGAAUUGCGUUUGGUACUGUUCUGAAAAUUUCUAAUCCAAACCAUUUUCUUUUAAUUUUUAAAUAAUUUUAUUACUUUUUUUUCUUUUUUCUUCUUUUCUUUCUCUUCUUCUUCUUCAAGUUUGCCAGUUGUCGGCCUUGGGAUGACUGGCAAUUGGCUAGACGAGGGCCGGCAAUCUCGCAGGAGCAUCGCUAGCUCUCGACGAGGCCGUGCCUCAUCGGCCGAGCCUCGAUAGCAGUUGAGCAAGCUCAAUUUCGCCCAACCAAGGGAGCCUUGUCGAUGGCUGGGCGAACCUAGCCCAAUUAGGCGAGGCUCGCCGAUGGCGGGGCGAGGCCCGCUAAUGGCUAGGCUCACCUUCGGCAACUGGCAACAGACGGCGGCAUUGAUUGAAGAAGAAGAGAGAGAAAAAGAACAAGAAGAAAGAAGAGAAAAAAGAAAAAUUAAGUUGGCUUGAUUCUGGAAUUGUUCCUAGGAACAAAGAAUUAACUUUUUUUUUACUUCUCAAUUCUAUUCAAGAUCUACUUUUGGGAGCAAAAAAAUAAAAAUUUGUUCUCGGAAACAAAAAUUUUAUCAAACGAAUUUAUGUUCCAAAUUUACUCCCAAGAACAAAAGAAUAUAAAUUUUCACUAUUUGGUUGGUUGCCAAACACGCCCUUACUAAACAAGAACCUUAUUAAAGGGAGACAGAUUUUGAAUGGAAAGGCGAUGAAAAGUUGUCGAGGGGAGCAUCUAAUAACAAUAUUCCUGAGGAAUCAAGAUAGGUACAAUCUUGACUCAUGGCAUCACAAUGAGCACCAAUCCAUGUGUGAUGAGCACAUCAUAUCGGUUCAAUAAUUAGCACUCGAGAAUUAGCAAUUAUGAUGUAUUUAUUUCAUGAAAAAUAAAUGAUUUAGAUAAAAUAUUUUUCUAAAAAUGAUCUUUUUUAUUACUUACAAAAUGAAUAAAUUAAAGAUAUUUUCAUCGUUCACGAAAAUAUUUAAAUAUGAAUUGUCGUUAAUGAUGAAAAUAUCUUUAAUUAAUUAAUUGAUCUAAUUAAUAUAAGUGAUGAUAUUUAGAAAAAUAUUUUCAAAUAAAUUAUUUUUUGCGAAACAAAUAGAGCGUUAUUUCUUUUAUUUUUUUUUUUGGUUUUGCUUUUGGAUAUUAGGGUGAAUCCUUGGGGAUAAUUCUUGUGCGUAAGAGUAGAUUUAAAAAAAAAAAUUGUUUUCACGUUGGGUUUAAAGUCGAUGAAGAAGCUUUGUUAGCAAAGGUACCUUUGGCUGUAUAUCGGAUGAAGAAACUUUGUUAUUAUUCCUGUACCACCAAAGUAUGACUUGAACUCUUAUCGUUGAAUGAAUAUCCUAAUCACAUUGGCAUAAGUAAUGACAUUAAGUUCACGUCAACAAAAUCCGUUACUAGGGGCCCGUUUGGUUUGGCUUUUGGGGAAUGCAUUUGCAGAAAUGCAAAUACCUUUGGGCGAAGGGGUUUUCCGAAAUACAAAUAUCGUUUGGUAAAAUUUGCAUUGAGAAACAACUUUGAUCAAAAUACUGUUUGGUAAAAUUUACAUAUGUAAUUAACUUUUAUUGAAUUAAAAAAGCAAAAAUAUGUUUAUAUUUUUUUUUUGAAGUCCGGCCACCGGACCGCUAAAUUCGGUGGCCGAAUCGCCUGAAUAAAAAAUAUGUUUAUAUUGUUUAUAUAAACAUAUUUUUAUAUAAAAAAUAUAAACAUAUAAACAUAAAAUAUAUUUAUUAAAGAUAAAAAAAUAUAUAAAAAAAUAGAUAUGUUUAUAUUUAUAAAUAUAUAUUUAUUAAACAUAAAAUAUAUUUAAAUAAAAAAUGGAUAUGUUUAUAUCUAUAUAAAAUAUAUAAAUAUAUAAAUAUAUAUUAUAUAUUUUUAUAAAUAUAUAUUUAUUAAACAUAAAAUAUAAAAAAAUAGAUAUGUUUAUAUUUUUUAUAUAACAAAUAAACAUAAAAUAUAUGUUUAUAUUUUUUAUAUAAAAAUAAACAUAAAAUAUAUGUUUAUAUAUUUAUACUGGACCGUCGAAUUUGGCGGCCGAACCGCCUGAAUAAAAAAUAUGUUUAUAUUUUUUAUAUAAACAUAUUUUUAUAUAAAAAAUAUAAAAAUGUAAACAUAAAAUAUAUAUAAAAAAAUAGAUAUGUUUAUAUUUAUAAAUAUAUAUUUAUUAAACAUAAAAUAUAUUUAUAUAAAAAAUGGAUAUGUUUAUAUCUAUAUAGAAUAUAUAAAAUAUAUAUAAACAUAAAAUAUAAAAAAAUUGAUAUGUUUAUAUAUUUAUAUUUAUAUAAAAUAUAUAUUUUAUAUUUAUAUAAAAAUAUAACAUAUUUAUUUUUAUAUUUAUUUUUAUUCAGGCAACCGAUUGGUUUCUCUACCGGAGAGAUGAACAAUACCGGAAGUUGCAUUCCGAAGAUGCAACUUGCCAAAGGACGUCAAGAGCUGCAUUGGGCUAAAGGCCUUUAGAACCACUUGGAGAUGCGAUUGCAUCUCGCCAAAGUCGCGCUAAAAACCGAACCAAAUAGUUUUGCAUUUGGUCAAGGGACUUUAGAGCCUAAAUGAGCAUUUCAAAUGCUGAACCAAACAGGGUCUAGAACGGUGUAAAGAAGAACAAUGAACGUUUUUUAAAAGAUAUGAGAUCCACUUUGAGUAGAAAAAACAAGAAAGAAUUUUUUUUUUAAUUUCAAAUAAGAGAACAAAGACCGAUGAAGAAACUAUCCCAAACCCAUUCAAUGCAUAAAAGGAAUUCGCUGAUUCGAUUUGGAUAGUCAGAUUUUUUUUUUUAAAUAUUUUCUUUUACACCCUUAAUUUUGUGUUCUAGGAGAUAAGUUGGUAAACUAAGGGUUUUAGACAAGGCCACUAAUCUCGCUGGAUGUCCGAUACAUGUGAAGACGUAAUUACUUCAAUGUGAUCCAUGUCCAACUAUGCCGAACCCCAAGAGAUAGAAAGGCUUCAUUGGGAAAACCUUAUCCUAGGAAAGCGAUUUGACUUGAAAGCGAAGCAAUCGUCGAGAGCAUUGGAUCUGAUAAGUUUAUCCCUAAGGAAUCAACACGCAUAUUGUUCAAAAAUCAAUUUAAAAAGCUAGAUCAAUAAUAAGGAGAUAUCACAUGUAUAUAAAUAAUAUAUGAAUCCUCUAAAAAGGUGGUGAUGCGAGAUAAUUUCAACCCAUAUGAUCUCAACUUGUAGUUAGUCAGCAUGAUGACAACAUUAUGUCAGUUCAAUAAUUAGCACAACAGCUUUUGCACUUGUGUUCUCUCUCUCAGAUUUGAUAUAUAUAUAUAAUUUUUUUUUGCUUUGAUAUUUUGGUAAAUCACGAGGGAUAAUUUCCGUUGCUAAGUGUAAAAAACGUUCAUGUUCGGUUAAAGCUGAUCAAGAAACUUCGUUAUAAAGUCACAUUUGGCUGCAUAUCGUCCCAAUAUAUAUCUAUGUGUAUUCAAUUUAAUUAGUAAUACGUAAAUGAUGUGUGCAUGGGUUUGAUUUGGUUUUAGAGACAAAAUUGGACCUAAUCGUGGACUUGUGAUUGACGAACCUGACAGGUUCGCUCGGCAAUUGGGUUAGCUUGGACAUCAAUGUUCGGCCGAUCGGUCUAGGCCACCAAGCCUUUUUGCUUUGAUUGUAACCACGGAUUGAAAAGGCUAGUAAUAAGAAACGUGAUGGGCUGUCUUAAUUUUCAUGAAAUGACCAUGCCCUCUCGAAAGGUCCUCGAAGUGCCCAAGGAACAAGGCCUUUUGGACCGGUGGUGGUCAGUACUUGCCCAGGACGGAGAAAAUGCAAUGAUAAAUGCUAUCAUAUCCAUAUCUAGUGGCUAGAUGUAAAGCAUAGCAUUCUAGCCGGAAAUUACCAAAAAUGUUUUAAAUAUAUUGUACUCAUGCCAAUUUAGUUUGAAGCCUUUCGAUUUAAUUAAUUUAGUCCCAAACGUUUUGACUAUUUGCUCAUUUAAUUAUAAACUUUUGAAUUGUAUCAAUUAGAUCAUAAAUCUUUUGACAAUCUAUCAAUUUAGUUCUUUUAACUAAUUUGGUAGGAAGUCAUAGACAUGCGCAGUCCAAUUAAUAUUGGUUGUACUAUAUAGCAAAGUCAGCAUUGAUGUAGUCAAUUUUUGUAAUCUUUUAAGAAAAAUUGUAAAAUUUUUAUUUUUUUUCUUUCUCUUUUUUCUUUUUCCGCUAUUUUCCUCCAUCGUACGCCAAACCUUGGCAAUGACCAGAAAAGGUCACCAGUCACCAGGCUUUGGUGAAGGUCACCAAGCACUAGUGAGCUCAGCCCUCCCCAAAUCUAAUGAGAGUUGGGCAAUGGCUUUAGGCAACCUAAUCCAAUUGUGGCCAAAGGCUAGGGAGGGCUAGUGAGGGUUGGGAUGCUCUCAUCCUACGAAAAAAGGGAAAGGAAACAAAAUCUAAAAAUUAAAAAUAAAUUAUCUAUAAAAAUCAUUUACUUUAGCAUUGAUUGUACCAUUUAAGAUGACUAGUGCUAACUAGACCAUCAUGUUAACAAUUUCGACCAAAACUAACUUAAAUAGCUAAAUGGGCAAAUCGUCAAGAUUUUAGUACUAAAUUUGGUAAAAUAUCAAAAUAUUUAGAACUUAAUUGAUACAAUACUAAAUUAGCAUAAAUACAAUAGAUUUAUGACUAAAUUGACUAAAUUGAAAUGUUUAAAACUGAAUUAGCAUUAUUGCAAUAUGUUCAUGACUUUCUUGAUAAAUUUAUUCAAAGCAACUUAUCCAGAAAUACAAUUACACACGCUUGCUUUUAGCAUUGGCAGCUCUUUAUAUCUGUCACUCGUGUCACGAGUAAAAGUCCAUAAUAAGAAAACACACGACCGUGAAAAAGAAAAGAAAGAAGAAGGCAAGACAGUAACGCACGUUACCGUUUGCUUCCACAAAACUUGGGCCUGUCUGGUAAAACUGAAAAUUAAUUGUUGAAGAUCUAAUAUUGUAUUUUAAAUGUUCGCCAUUUUAAGUGCUCAAAUUGAAAAUAAAAUGCCUUUUAAAAGAUUUCUUUUCUUACCAAAUACGGAAUUCUGAAUAUAUUGGCAAGUUUUACGCUUUUGGUAAUGAAUAUCCAAACGCUUGUUUGCUAUUUAGAUGCCCUUUUUAUCAAACGAAUUAAAAAACUGCAUUAUUACUUAGCGAAUUCGGUCAUUUUUUCUUAUUAAUUGAAUCUUUGAAGUCAAUACUACUCAUUCGCAAACAUAUCUAAUUUUAUUAGGUAUUGAAGGUAUUAAUUUUCAAAAAUUAUUAAAGUUAUAAAACGAGGCUAAUUCCAAAACUGUCUUCUUUUAUCUAUAUAAUUUGUGUAAAUUUUCUUUUUCCAUACGACAUAAUGAAUUCAAAUCCGUAGCAGGUUCUUCUAGUAAUCUAGAUUGUGCAUUGAAAAAUGUUUUUCAUCAUUGGUUCUGAUCAAUCUGGCUCCAUCGAAGUUCGCCUCUAGUCUAUAUUGAGGAAAUGAAUUGGAGAUGAUGUUGGCCCUAAUUGUUCGAAAACGAGAUUGUCACUAAGGCUUGGCCGUAGAUUACAAGCAGAAAUAGACUCACCCAAGGUGGCCAUGUGAAAUCUUUAGUAAUUUAUUCAUCCCAUUAUAAUUUGCCGACAUGCCCUUCAAUCGGUUUAAUUUUAUCAAUUAAGGUUUAAAAAAAAACACAUAUAGAAGAAGAUAAUACAAAAAUAAAAUUCACGGUGACAUAUUCUUAUAUCGUAUUAAUCCAUCAUUCCAAAAGCGAAACUUUAUAGAAGAUAUUUCGUAUAAUCAAAUAAUGUUUGAAUUGUUAUUUCAUCAAAUGGAUAAUUAUAUCCAAUAUUUUGAAAUAAUUUAAGGAUUAUAUUUAAUAAAUUAAAAAGUACCCCCAAAAAAAAUGACACUGGAGUGUGGCCAAACUUAAUCGUUUGCCCCCACCUCUCGACGGCUUCAACACCCUCAUGUUUUCGCUCUCUUUCUUCCUCCUCCUUCAGCGUCGCGCGCAAGCUUCUACCUUUACUCUGUCUCUGUCUCUCUUCCUCUCCCACAAAGCUUCGCAGAGAAGAUGAUGGAAAGAUCGGUUUUUUGAACACCAAAACACCUCCGAUUUCUCCCGCUGAACUCCAGACCUCCCUCUGCACAUAUAUAUACGGGCUUUCUCGACGCUCUCUGCGAUCACGCAUCCCCCAUUUUCCAGCGACGAUCUCUAGCUGUUUCGCAUGGUUUCCCCAGCUCGGCUUCGGCGUUCCCCCCUUGUCGGCCGCCGUCCAUUCUCGGAAACCCCGAGGAAUUCUCUCUACGAGGUUCGUCUUCGUUUUCGUCCAUGAACGUGUUGCGGUUUUUCGGUUUCUUGUUUUUUCGUUUUUGGGUAAUGCUCGGCUCUGUUUCGUGUGUUUUUUCUUACCCACGACAACGUGGAGGCGGUAGCGGAAGCUGUAAGAAUUAUUGUGGCAUGAUAUGAUUUAUUAUAUGAUUUAAUAAUAGUUGAAAUGCUAUAAAAUAAAUAAUGUAUUGGUUAUGAGAAGUUAUAAUUCUAAUAAAAUGAAGAGAUAUGAUUUUUAUGGAAGUUGAAAAUGCAUUUUGAUAAAAGGCACCUGUUGAAAGAGCAUAUAAAUAGUCUAAUACUCUCUCCGUCUACAUGAAUAACAUUAACUGAAAAGAACUCGGUAUUCUCUCCUCCAUCGAUAGAAUAUAUUAAAGAUUAGUGGGUUAAGGGAGAGGAAUCGGAUUUUUUUAUUUGAUUCGAGUUCUUCAGUUUUUUCACAACAAUUAUCAUCAAAAGGUAAUGCUAUGGAUAAAGGUACGUCUUCAUCUAUUUGUGAAAAAUCAUAAAGAUUAAAGAUCACUGUUUUAUUAUGAAUUUCCGCAUUAAAGAAUUAUUUGUAUUAUCUAACAGAAGCAACUCGCGGUGAAGUUUGACGUGUUGCCCACGAGUUGGGUUUUCUUGUUGGGUCUUGUUCCUUAAGUGGAGCAAUGGGUAGAAUCUUAUUGCUGCUUCUUCUGCCGGAUUCCUUAGUAUCUUCAUUGUCGUGUUCGUGAGCUUCGCUUUCGUGAGCGGAUAAAUCUGUAUGUGUUAGUUAAGCAGUAGAUGUUAACGGCAAAGCCUUGGAGGUUGAUACGUCUCGAAGGAGUUGGGGAAAGAUGAUCACUUGGACUGAAUUGCGAUCUUCUGUUUGCGUUGGCGCUGAUUUUGUGCUCUUGGGAACUUUGGGUGAUUUCGCAUGAUUGGUUUUUCGCCAGUUCUUGUUUCCUUUGACGUGUCAUUUGUCCUGAUCUCAUGCUGAUUUACUUUCUCGUGCCUUCUUUUUUUGGUUAGCAUGGUGAGAGUUAAGGAGGAAUACGAUGUGGUGGCGAGUCCUUCAUUUUUCACUGGCAGCUGCGACUCGUAUCCUAAGAAAUCACUGUCCACUUUAUCGUACAGUUCCAGGUUUUACUCUGCUUUUAAAUUUCCGAGGCCUUAUAUCAGUCCUACCUCUUGUUUUGGUAAUCGUUCAGUAAUGUAGCAAGUUCAAAACCUUCUGACUGCAGUUGUGAUUAAGUUAAUUAGACAUUAAUAUUUAAAAUCGGCAUGCAAUAAAAACUGAGGUGCAUACUUGUGACUUAUUUGCAUCAGCAUGAUAUAACCCUUUGUUCAAUAACAGAGGCACAUAAGUUGUUUGUUCAGAAGCAUAUUAGAUCAGCUACUUUUCUGCAUCUUGAAUGAAUUGCGCUUGAUGUUCCCUUUUAAUGCGGCAUUUGUUUUGGCUUUAGGAGGGCAAUUGGUCCAAUUAGGCAUUCAACAAGAGGAAGAUGGACAAAGGAAGAGGUUAGUUUGGAACGGCUACAUUUUGAUUCUUCAGUAUGUUAAGAUGUGUUAAGUAUAAAGCCUUUUACUGUAGAUGAUAGACCAAUUAGGCAAAUAAAGCUUAGGGUGGGAAUGCCAAUUGUGCAUAUUCAAGCAGAUUGGGCUACUCUGUUGUUACUGUAAAGGGUUUAAUUCCCUCCAACUUUCAUAUGACAGCAGAAUAUACUUCUUUCUCAGAAUUUUCCUAUUCAACUGUGUAUUGCCAUGCAACAUUUUCUUUCCGGAAGAGUUCUGAAGCUUUCUAACUCCAUGAACAUUGCAAUUUGAUAUGAGCAGGACAGAUUUCUUAUUGCAGCGGUGCAGAAGUUCAAUUGCAAGAAUUGGAAGACAACAGGUCGGUUUGACUCUUUCCUCCAUCUCCCUCAAGAUUUACUUGAUUUUUUGCACAAAGAAUUACUAGUUCUUUAUUUUGGUGGGGCAGGACCAUCAAGAGAUACGUAAUUGGCCAUCCAUCAUCAGAACUAGAUUAAGCGUAAUAUGACGGUGUCAUUAAUCAUGGUAGCUUCAACAUAUUCAGACUAGUUUGUGAAUUCCUGCUGUGCUAAGUGGAGAUUUCUUGUUCAGGAAUCAAGCACCUCCAAAUAACUACAACAUUUUCCAAUGUUUUCCAGCGAUAUGGUUGACAAAAAUAGAUGUGUGAAGUAAAUGAUGUGGUGAUUCCAUUCCAUACACAUAAGUUUGCACUCAGCAAAAGGCUGAUGCUUUGGCUGUUUUCAUGUGUUACCAGCUGCAUGUCCCUGGUAAGACAGAUAGUCAGUGCUUGCAUCGCUGGUUAAAGGUUCUAGAUCCUCGUCUUAUUAAAGGGUCUUGGACAAAGGGGGUAAUGUCAAAUAUCUGAGCCUUUAGUAAUUUGUUGUUAUGAUACUGUGUACUGUCAGGGAAAGCAAAUUGAUUUGCUUCCUCUUUCUAUUUCAGGAAGAUGAUCUUUUAAUCAAUUCAGUUAAGAGAUAAGGCUGCAAAUGGUCGCUGAUUGCAAAAACCUUUCCUGGUCGCACAGGCAAGCAGUGCCAAGAAAGGUGAGCUGUCAGUCUCUAGUGAAUGAACAGCAUGUAUACUGGAACUGUAUACCCGUGAUAUUGGCACUCUUCAGUUUAAUUUUCCUUUUACCAGAUUGAGACUCUUUAUUGAAAAAUGUAAAUAUGUACUUAUUGUUCUUAAUUAAUUAUACAUAAGUUUGUGUUCUUGUUAUAAAGUAUUAGUGACAAAGGAGCUGUUUACUGUAGGUGGACUAAUCAUCUCGAUCCUUCAGUAAAGAAUGUUGCCUGGACAGCAGAAGAGGAAUCCAUUCUUGCUCACUGGCACCAUAUUUAUGGUAACAAGUGGGCACAAAUCGCCAAAUUUCUUCCUGGAAGGUACAUUUAAAAAACUUGAAGACAAUUAACGAUUUACUAGUGGCUGGCCCCCCAUUGUUGUUCCAAUCACGAUUGCUCUUCAUUGUUUCUCUCCAGCGGAAUUCUUCAUGAAAGUUAUUGCACAUUUACUCCCCAACAAAAUGGGAUUGCUGGAAGAAAACAUCACCAUCUCUUAGAAGUUGCUCAAGCCCUUAAAUUCCAGGCCUCAAUUUCGAAAAGGUUCUAGGGAGAUUGUGUGGUCACGGCAGUCAACUUGAUCAAUAGGAUGCCAUCUCGUAUUCUCAAUGAAAGGACACCUUUCAAGUUACUCCUUGGCAAGUGUGCAAACAAUCGUCACCUCCAUGUUUCUAGGUGUCUUUGCUGUGUGUCUACCGUUGAUCCUCGGGACAAGCUAGAUCCCUGAGCCCUCAAGUGUGUAUUUAUUGGGUAUCCAACUCUUCAAAAGGGAUAUUUGAUUCUUAAUCCAUUGACUGAACGAGUUUUUGUCAGCAAAGACAUCACCUUUCACGAGGAUAUUUUUCACUCCCAGGACAAAUUAUCUUCAUAUCAACAAGAGGAUUUGACUUCAUAUCAUGAUCUAUUCUUAAGUGUAAUUGAUUCUCCAAAGGGAUAAUUAAUUAUGCUUCCUCAUAUGACACCUUCCAUGGCAUCCCCCGAUGCUACUGCAAGUCUUACACCAAAUAUUGAUAACGGCGCAUCCAAUAAUCCAUCACCAGUAAUGCCUAAGACUUUUGUAUCUCCGGAAUCAUCUACUUCACCAAGUAAUACUUUUACUGAACCAUGGGAUGAUGUUUCGUCCAUACCAGCCAAUCCUCAACAUUCAGGCCGCACCAUCCGAUCACCGAUAUGGACAACAGAUUAUAUUUUGCUCUUCCUUGGACACAUUUGAUAGUCUUUCGGCUGAACAUUUGUGUUGCAUUAGUAGAAUUUUGCAGGAACCAUCCUCUUAUGGGGAAGCCACCAAAGAUCCUCGCUGGCGAAAGGCAAUGGAGGAUGAAUUAGGUGCAUUGAUGGAAAAUAGAACUUGGGAUUUUGUUCCUCAACCACCCCAUCAAAAACCCAUAGGCUGCAAAUGGGCAUACAAGAUCAAGUAUAAAGCUGAUGGAUUCGUUGAGCAUUAUAAAGGUAGACUAGUGGCGAAAGGAUUCACACAAUGAGAAGGAUUUGACUAUACGGAAACUUUCUCACCAGUCACAAAGAAAGUCACUGUUCAGUCUUAUUUUCUCUAUUGCUAAUAUCCAUAAUUGGCCUCUCCAUCAUAUGGAUGUCCACUAUUCCUUUCUCCAUGGAGCUCUUGCUGAGGAGAUCUACAAGGUUCCUCCACCAGAAUUACGUAGACAGGGGGAGAAUAGUGUAUGUCAUCUUCGUAAAUCCUUAUAUAGGCUCAACAAGCAUUUCGUCAAUGGUAUACCAAAUUCACUAAUGCACUUACGGCUGCAAAGUUCUAGCAAUCCAGGCACAACUAUACUUGGUUUAAACAGAGACAAGGUACAUUAUCAAUUUAUUUACUUAUAUAUAUUGAUGAUAUACUCAUUAUGGCGAAUGAAGCAUCUGCCAUUGAUAAAUUCAAGAAAUACUUGCACUUUAUCUUCCACAUUAAAGACUUAGGACCUCAAAAAUACUUCAUUGGAAUAGAGAUUGCAUGGUCAAAUAAGGGCAUUUGUCUCAGCUAACGCAAAUUUGUCCCGGAGAUCAUAUCAAAAGCAAGAUUGUCGGGAUCUAAACUAGUUGCAUUCCAAUCGAACAGAAUACAAGAUUGACAAUAGCUGAGUAUGACAAAGGAUUGUCACCCAUGAACAAGGAUCCUCUACUUAAAGACCCUUUGGCUUAUCAAAAACUUGUUGGAAAACUAAUUUAUUUGACCAUGAUCAGACCCAAAAUUUGCUAUGCUAUGCAUAUCCUUAGCUACUUCAUGCACACCCUAAAAUAGUCUCACAUGAAUGCGGCAUUGAAGGUUGUAAGGUACUUGAAAGGAUGUCUGGGAUUGAGAAUAUUAUUGUCACGAAAUAGCAACAUGGAGAUGGCAACAUACUGUGACAUGGACUAUGCUACCUAUCCAAUGAGUAGAAGAUCUGUUAUAGGUUUCUGUAUAAAAUUUCAGGAUUCAUUGUUUUCAUGGGAGACAAAGAAACAAGUGACAGUUUCCUUAUCAUCUAUCGAAGUAGAAUACUGAGCAAUGGCAAAGACUAUUUGCGAGAUAUUAUGGUUAAGAGGCCUACCCCAAGACCUUAGCAUAUGGAUAAAAGAACCAAACUAUCUUAUUCUUUGACAAUGAUACUGUACUCAAACUGCUAAUAAAUCUAGUUUUUCAUGAGAGGACAAAGCACAUAGAGGUUGCUUGUCAUUUCAUCAUAGGCAAGAUUCAUAAUGGGGUAAUCAAGAUAAGAGGGAUAAGGACAAUAGAACAACUUGCGGACAUCUUUACCAAGGCUUUAUGUCAAAGAAAAAUUGUAUUUACUGAGCAAGCUCAGCGUCCUUGAUGUGUAUAGACCGCCAAGCUUGAGGGGGAGUGUUGAAGAUACGAUUACCGAUACCAAUUGAUCCUAAUUGAUCUUGAUCAGUAUGCUGUUGGAAGAUCAAAAUAUCGCAUAUCAUGGAAUCUUUUGUGUAUAUUUUAUUUCCAAAUUCAUUUAGAAUUCUUGUUUUAUAAAUAGGACUAUAGUUAUGCAUUGAAUGAUAUGAAAGCAAAUACACAAUUUCAAUCUGUAGUUGCUUGUCAUCCUCUAAAACUCUGACAAAAAUCAAUGUCGGUAAGAGUAGUAUUUCUCUUCGAGUAUGCCCAACAUUGCUCAACAAAAUGCACGAACAUAAAAGCUAGCAACGCUCACAAUCAUCAUAUGAUAAUCAAUUGACACUUUCAAAAUAGAGACAUUAUGUUCUCCAUCAUUUGGCAUUAUUGUAACAAAGAAAUUGUUAUAUAGGCUGAGCUCUAACAAUCUAUUCCGAUCACAUAUUAAAAAAUAGUGAGACACACAUAAGUAUAAACUUUUACUGGGUGAAUGCAUGGCGUUUAACUUAACUCGAUAAAUAGAAUAAGUAUAUUUAAUACGUAUCAAUGUGUAAUCAUAACAUGUGCACGUCUCGACAUACCUAUAGAGACAAACUUGUACCAUCAAAUUUUUCACUUGGAGAUGGCUCAAUUCAAAUUAUGAUAUGCUCUAAAAGAGAAAUAUGAUCUCCUAAAUUAUUUGGCCAAAACAAUUGAAAUGCAUCAAAAAAGUGAAUUAAUUAACAUGAGGGUUAAGUAUUGAAAAUGGAAAUAUCAGAUUUUCGUUAAUUGAGGAUUUCGAAUCUUCAAGUUAUAAUAUUCCAUUUGUCGUCCACCCAUGAUCAUAUAACAAUCAAGAGAAAAGGCUGGCGGAGAGGGUUAAAGGAAAUUUUUCUUCACUAGGAUUUGGAUUCACUGUGAUCAUUUCAUGAAACACGAACUGAUAUUGAGUCAUGACUAACUUAUCAAAUGUCCUAAAUUGCAAGGGUGAUCUCUUUUAUUUAGAGGAUAUAAUGACAGCAUACCAUAGAAUUGAUAAUAAUAUGCAGGUAGAAACAAGAGGAAGCCUAACUUGCAUUAUGAUUAUUAUUGUCUCAUUCAUAUAAAUCGUUACUAAUGCUAUUAAUAAAGUACUGAAGAGUAAGACCCUAUAAAUUGAGCUCAUAAGCUAAUUUCAUUUAUUUACCAACAUUAUUCUUAUUCUACGUUAAAUUUUGGCCCCCGUGGCAAAAUGUGACCUCACAGUUGGUACCACUUGGGCAAGUGAAGGUUGCCGGUACAUCUAGUGGGUAGGUGUAAGCAUCCGGGCACUUAUCCUUGAAGAAUUGGGAGUAAGUGGUCAAGCCAUAGCUCUCCGACUUAUUGUUGCAACAGUACUAAGGGUCCGUUUGGCUUGGUUUUGGGGAAAUGAUUUUGAGAAAAUACAAAUAUCUUUAAGGUGAAGGAGUUUUCUGAAAUGCUACACCGUUUAGUAAAUUGUAACCUCAAAUAGUAUUGGAAAAUAGCUUUAACAUAAAUACCGUUUGGUAAAACACAUAUUUGUAAAGGGCUUUUGCUAUUUUUUUUUUAAUUUUUUUGAUCUGAAAAUUUAAUCAGUUGUAGGUCGGCCGUUGGCAGCCACCAGCCAACCGCCAAAUCUUGCCUCCAGACGGCUAGAUCUUGCCUUUAGACUGCCAAAUCUGGCGGCUUGAGGUCAUAAAGAUCAGAUCUGGCCUCUGGAUUACCAGAUCUAGCCUUCAGACAAUCAUAUAUGGCGCCUUGAGGCCGUAGAGGCCAAAUCUAGCCUCCACACUACCAGAUAUGGGGGUCUAAGGUCGCAAAGGCCAAAUAUAGCGGCUUGAGGUUGAGACCUCAAGCGAUGCCGCCGCUAGAAGUUGCGUGAUCUCAAACGGCAUCACUUGAUUUGUGCGAGCCAAGUGACACCACCUGAUGGUAGUGCGCUCAAGUGGCGUCGCCUGAGUCACAGGUCGCGCCACCCCAAGCGAUGGUUGUCGGAGACACAUAACCCCCAGGCAGCAGUGGCAGUUGCCGGAGAAGAUCGACUCUUAGGCAGCAAAUCAAGGGAAGAUGAAGAUGAACGAGAAGAAGAUGAACAGUGACGCGGAUGAACAGUACACUUGCAUUUUCGAAAUGCCAAAAGGUCAAAGUAGAUUCGGACUUGCAUUGAGCUUUUAGCAUUCCCAAUGCUAAUAUUUGGCCGAGGGACUUCCAAAAAUACUUACCAAAUGCCUUAAAAUUUUCCCUAAAGGGUUUUGGGGGCCCAAAGUCCCUUGGAAAAGCUGAACCAAAUGGGGCCUAAGUAGUUUUGAUCACUAUGCACAGAUUGUUGCACCCAUCGAGAGCCUUCAGGGCCCAAGUAGUUUUGAAUACUAUGCAUGGAUUGUUGCACCCACCGGGGGCCUUCAGCUCUUCUGGGCACUGGCCAUUGAUUUCAUCUAAGCACCUGAUCCCUCUGCACGAGCCGGAGGUGGGCCUUGAAAGCAUCGGAAGGUUGAACCCAUUGACGAGCGAAAUGUCCAAGAAAUCCAAGUAGUUGAACAAGCCAACUCAAUGACGGUGUGGGCAGGCUCCCAAAGCCUGAGCAAUCCAAGAGUCGACCGCAGUUGCCGGUCUGGCACCAGCCUUGGCCAUUGGCAUUGAAGGUGCAAUUGGUCCUGCCCCAUAUGCGCCCUGAGGUCGUGUUCUGGGCCACGGAUAGGACCCACAUCUAGCCAGGGUUGAGCCGGCGCCCACCACCAGGUGAUGCCGCAGCCCAAAUAGUGUAUGUGCAUUGGUUGACAACCACAAAAGUAGCUGCAUGUGUGGAAGUGAGGAAGAGGGUAAGCAAAAGAGACAAGAUUAGGGACAGAGGCGCGAGGAUUGAGCUCAUCAUCUUGGUUCUUGAACACCUAACCGGGACACGAGUGCUAGAACCGUUUGAAGAAGAGACAUUUCUUCCACUGAGCUCCACUGCUGAUUAUUUGAUUCGCAGGGAGGGGGUCCCAUGUAGAUUGAGGAGGCAGAGGUUUGGCUCAAGGAAUUACAUGCCAGCGAACUUUCAAGGAAAUUUUAGAGCAGACGAUGGUUUCAAAUGGGUGACAAAACACGAGUCAACGAAUGGAUAUACGCGUCUUUCGCGGUGGCUGCGUAAGGACCGAGGACUUGAGAGAUCGAGAGGGAACUUCUCAGUUCGAUUUAGUCAAAGCACGUGUUGUCAAUAGAAACUAGAAACCCGUGACCACACAGCAUCAAUUUUUCGGGCUCAUCUUCCCACCCAUGACAACGUGCGCCAAAAAUUUAACUGCGCUCUUGUCGGUCGUCGGAUUCAAGGUUGUCGACGUCGGACCAUUGAAUCUUGCGUCAGUGCAAGAUCUAAAAAAUGUCAAUGUCGAGACUUUUGAAUUUAAACGCAGCAAGUUAUCUUUGAUUUGAUUAUGUGCAUGGAAAAAAAUACCCGGCAUUCUUGUUAGUUGUCAGAUUUUUUUGUCACAGUGGACUUUUAGAUCUUGCGUAGAUGUCCGAUCUAAAACUUGUCAACAUCAAAUAUGAACGUGGUAAAUAUGCUUUGGUUUUGCUCAUGGCAAAGUAAAUUGAGCCCUUCCUUUCCCUAAUGAUAUGAUCACUGAGAAUAAAUAAUAAUCAACACGUCUAUUUAAAGGAUAAGGUACCGAAUACACUUUGCAUCAACGACACCAUGUUAAUUAUUUAACUCUUUUAGGUAUAAUUUGUCAAUAUUUCAUAUGGAUUUUGUUGAAACCCAACUAAAGAAUGUUGGUUACUUUCAAAGCACCAUCCCUCUUGGGUCAUGUGUAAUCAAUAUAUUGAAAAUCGAAAAAAAAAGAAAAAAAAAGAAGCUUUUCUUAUUAGAUUUUAUAAACGAGUGACCUAGUGAGCGCAUUCAUUACAAGAUCCAUACUAGAAUACUAUAAACUUGUGCAGCCACAUAAAUCAUAGGCGUACUUACUCAUGAGUCGGUUUAAUCGUCUAGGGUUCUAUGAAAAAGUGUUCCGAGAGCAAUAAUUAAAUAAUAAAAUAAGUAAAUAUUGCGAUUUCGAAUGCACUAACUAGUUUUAUGAUAUGCACAAUCACCAUUAAUUGAUGCUUUAUUAGAAAAUUAGGCUUCCUUUUACUUAAUUUUAUGUUAGGUCCUCUUGUUGCACCUUCUAGAAAACAACUACAAAAGAAAAGAACAACUCAAAACAAUUAAGGCUCCAUUUAUUUCAUGAAAAUGAAUAAUUAAAAAAAAACAUUUUUCUAAAAAUGACCGUUUGUAUCAUUUAAAUAAUUAGUCGAUAUAGAAUGUUUCAAACAUCAAUAAUAAUUUAUGUCUAAAUAAUUUUGUAGACGGUAAAAAAAAUUUUUGUUAAUUCAAUUUUUUUGUGUGAUUUAAGCAAUCAUUUCCUUAAAACCUUGAAAACAGACAUCACUGUGAGAUCUUUGUUUAGUUAAGACAAGACUAAGUCAAACUCACAGAUGUAAUGAAACUCCUUGCAAAAAUGUUUCAUUUAACUUUCAGUCAAGUGCGUAAAAUUCGAUUCUCCCAUUAAUCGCGGCGUUUCGGUUAGGUUUCUACAUGUUUUUAAGUCUUCACCCUUAUUCCCUGCAUAUUUUUAGGUCGAGAUUGCAAUGACUAUUAUCAAAAUAGAUCUCAUUUCUUUUCGUUUUUUUUUCCCCGAAACCCCUCCGCAGAAAAAUCUUAAAAAGAUCAAUAGCUCCAGAAAUAAUCUCUGGGGCCAAAUCACAGUAAAAACGCACAAAAGAAGACAAAAUAAAAAAGGUUAGGUUAUUACAUGAAAGUUUGUAAUAGAGAUUAUUACAAACUUUUCUUCAGAAAAUAAUAGAGAGCAUCGUCUAUUUCCAUACUUACAUUGCACGUCUUAAUGUAAUAGUUUCUCACUCUAUACCAUUAGAUUUCAACAAUAGUUAAGAAAAAAAUUAGAAUAAUUUGUAGUAGAGUAAGAAAACCUUCAUUUAAAGUCAUCCACCUCUUCCGAAAGAAUCCAAAUUCCAUACAUAUGAAGUUUAAUUCCAUGUUUUAUAUUUUUUUAUCUGUUACCGGAUUAAUGAGGCCGUGCUUGGAAUAUUUGAAAAGAUUUCAAGUUUAAAACUUCAUAUUCGUUACCAUUGAUCGGGUUAAUAACUACUCUCAACACACUUUUAUGCUUGUUUAAUUUAGAUUAAUCAGAUUUUGAAUUUAGUAAUUGCACAUUAGACGAGAACGUUCCGUACAUUAUAAAAUACAUAAUUUUCUUAAUUAAUUUUUUUUAUAAUGAGUAACACUGAAGUACUUGAAAAAAAAAUCACGCUAAAAAUAGUUAAACAUAUUUUUGGUGCAUCCUGAAAACAGUGGCAAACUGAAAAUGCGGAAAUUGAUUUUCAAGUAAGAUUGACGACACAAAUAAUUUAUUUUAUUUUAUUUUGUUUUACAAGGGAUCUUUAACAAAAAGAAAAAUCCCGAUGGAAUUAAAAUUAUAUUUACAAUGUCUAUCUAUUAAAUUCUCAUUUUUCAUUCAACUCAAUGUCGACUAAAAACUACUUUUUUAUUGAGUGAAUUUUAGUUCUGACUUAUUGUUUCUUUGCAGAAUUUACAAUGGAUGAACUUUGACUUAUUUUAAUCUUAAUUACCAGGAAUGUUCAUAACAUGUAUAUAAAUGUUGACACGUAAUUACUUUUCGUUGCGUGAAUUUUACUUAUGACUCUCUCUUUUUUCUUUUUUUUUUUAAAUCUUACGGUGCAUGCACUUUGACAUUUUUUAAUCUUGAGCACUUGAAAUUUUCAUAAAUAUGUAUAAACGUUCACACCAAAGUUCACAGAUAUUUUUUUUUCAUAAUUUUCAGAAAUUUGAAGUAGAUAUAAAAUUUUGGCAAAAAAAAAGUUACUUUGAUUUCGUCCAAUCAAACACCCCUUAAAACAGAUUGCUUCACCAAAUAGAUUUUACCUCCAAACAUGGUCUUUGACACCGCAUAUUGAGAUCAGUUUUCCAUGGUCAAAACAACGAUCCAAUCAAAUGGUGGAGUAGUGAUCGAUAUUAGGAUGUUUGAAAAAAGACAACCAUCUUCUACGUGCGUGUCCUUGUUUGAAUACCCAUGUAAAAGUGUCAAUCUUAGUCCAGUCAUAUAGCACUUAGAUUGCUCAUAAUUUCUCAUGUAGCAGAAUCGAUAAAGUGGGCCCAUUGUGAACAUAUUUUCCCUAGUUGGACAACAUUGACUAAGUCUUGUGGAUUUUAUGUGUGUGGCGAAUAAUUCCUCUUUCCAUCAUGAAUCACUAUUACAGGUGCUCUAAUUGCCUUUUAUAUACCGAAUUAUCAAGAAUUGUCAACAUAGACUUUUUUUCCUAAGUAAAGUCGUAAUAACAAACUCUUUCUUAAGAAUUAUCCCUAACAAAUGACACAUGAUACUCUAAUUUGCAGUAGAUUUAUUAUUCUCCUUACAAAGAGUACUUCUUUUUGCACUCUCCACUCACUUGCUUCCCAUUAGGAUUUGUACUUGCCUCAAUCAAUCAAUACUAUUACUUGUGUUCAACCAAAAAACAUAAAAAGUAUUGGUUCUUAUAGCAUAAGUUUUGAUGAAUUUUAACGUUGCAAAUUAGCAAUUAUUGAUGAUCCUAACAUUUUCUGUAGCUCUUCCCAUAAAGUAUUUAUCUUUUGGAACAUUUUAAUUAUUUUCUCUCAAUAUCUCCUUAAUGGAUUGCCUUUAAAAGUGAGACGUGGAACUCUAAUGUAUAAUAGAUUAAUUUGCAAGGAGUAUUUUUCUUGCACUUUCCACUCAAUUUGCAUUUACCUAGGAUCUGUGCCUGUAUCAUUCAACACCAUGAGCAUUGUUCGAAUACGUGCUAUGAAAAUGAUAUCUCGCAAAUGACAAAGUUGGCAAUACACGUAAAUAUAUUUCUCCUUCAAACAUGGUCUUUGACACCGCAUAUUGAAAUCAGUUUUCCAUGGACAAAACAACAAUCCAAUCAAAUGGUGGAGUAGUGAUCGAUAUUAGGAUGUUUGAAAAAAGACAACCAUCUUCUACGUGCGUGUCCUUGUUUGAAUACCCAUGUAAAAGUGUCAAUCUUAGUCCAGUCAUAUAGCACUUAGAUUGCUCAUAAUUUCUCAUGUAACAGAAUCGAUAAAGUGGGCCCAUUGUGAACAUAUUUUCCCUAGUUGGACAACAUUGACUAAGUCUUGUGGAUUUUAUGUGUGUGGCGAAUAAUUCCUCUUUCCAUCAUGAAUCACUAUUACAGGUGCUCUCAUUGCCUUUUAUAUACCGAAUUAUCAAGAAUUGUCAACAUAGACUUUUUUUCCUAAGUAAAGUCGUAAUAACAAACUCUUUCUUAAGAAUUAUCCCUAACAAAUGACACAGAUACUCUAAUUUGCAGUAGAUUUAUUAUUCUCCUUACAAAGAGUACUUCUUUUUGCACUCUCCACUCACUUGCUUCCCAUUAGGAUUUGUACUUGCCUCAAUCAAUCAAUACUAUUACUUGUGUUCAACCAAAAAACAUAAAAAGUAUUGGUUCUUAUAGCAUAAGUUUUGAUGAGUUUUAAUGUUGCAAAUUAGCAAUUAUUGAUGAUCCUAACAUUUUCUGUAGCUCUUCCCAUAAAGUAUUUAUUUUUUUGGAACAUUUUAAUUAUUUUCUCUCAAUAUCUCCUUAAUGGAUUGCCUUUAAAAGUGAGAUGUGGAACUCUAAUGUACAAUAGAUUAAUUUACAAGGAGUAUUUUUCUUGCACCCUCCACUCAAUUUGCAUUUACCUAGGAUCUGUGCCUGUCUCAUUCAACACCAUGAGCGUUGUUCGAAUACGUGCUAUGAAAAUGAUAUCUUGCAAACAACAAAGUUGGCGAUAGACGUAAAUUAUCUUGAAACGAAGUUGGUGGUUUAAUCUUCCAAAUGCAAGUAGAGCAAGUGGUAAAACCCAUCUUUACACGAGCGCGGCCUGAAGCCUUUAUUAUUUAUCUACAAACAAUAGUCUCUUUUAUCGAAGUGUCGCCCUCGCUCUGCACGCUCUCGAUUCCAACAUCCCAAGAAGAAAAAGGCGAGAUAGCUGUGGACAACCCAAAGAAAAGGGAAUACUAAACAGUCAUAUAAAUUGCUCGAUUAAGAGCGUCUAUAGAUGUUCAUUUAUUCAACUCCUUAAACUUUUGUUCUUGCCUCAGCUGCAUACAUAGAGGAGCUUGAGGCAAUACAUUCGUGCAAGUACACUAGCUCAAACUAACUUGAGCACCAUUAUUUCGGCAUAGGGUCUCCUAUAGAGUAUUCCCGACGAUUCCGCUCUUACUUCAAGGACAGAACACAACCCUAUAGUUGGUUCCGCCAGGGCAGGUGAAAGUGCUGGUUUGAUCAUCCUUAGGGUAACUGUAAGCAUCGGGGCACCUAUCCUUGAAGAACUUGGAGAAAUUCGUGGGCCCGCAGCUUCCGGAGUAGCAGCAGUACUGGUUGGUCCUGAACACGGUGCAGGGGUUGUUGCAACCGCCGGGCGCCUUUAGCCGGGCAGGGCACUGGCCAUUGAUGUCGGCCGUGCACUUGAUCCCACGGGUGCACCCAUUGGAGUUCGGGCUGAAGUCCAUGGGGACGUUGAAGCCGUCAACCAAGGAGAUGACAAAGAAGUCCAUGCCGCCGAACUGGUUCAGCGCAUACUCGGCCAGGGUGUUUGGGGGCUGGCCGUAGGAUGUGCACUCACGGACGCCGCCACAAUCGCCAGUCUUGCACUUGCCUUUCCCGGAGGCAUCAAAUUGGCAGUUAGUCCGGGCCCAGAUACGGGCUUGUUUCGUACCAGGGCUCACGUUCAAGCUCCAGGACUGGCCUCGGUCAAGCUGUUGGCCACCUCCUGGGACCGCCGCAGCCCAGACCGUGUAGGUGCAAUUGUUCCUAAUAUUGAAAGUGGCAGCAUUGGCGCAAGUGAGGAAGAGGGAGAGCAAGAGGACGGAGGAAAUGCAAAUGGCAUGGGAGCGAGCCAUGCUUAGGGUUUGCUCAGAACUUGGUUUUGUGUGAUUUCUUUAUGUGAUAGUACUUGUGUACUAGCUUGGUGGGUAAUGGAGAAAUGCACGAGGGUUUAUAUAGGGGCGAGCGUAGCUAGGGAUUGGCUGAGAGAGGCCAACAGGUGUCUCUACAUGAUUAGUUGAUCGAAUAUCAGAUGGGGUUUGAUAAUGCUGUCCUUGGCUUGGCUCCAAGUCAAGUCAAGAACGAAGAUAAAGCCUCCACAAUGCACACAGGCUCAUCUGUAACCGGUCAACAAUUUUUACCGUGCGAGUGCUUGAGAGCUUUAUCAUCAGGGAGCGGCUAAUGGUUUUGGCAAUUAUCCAUCAUUCAGGCCCUUCUGCUUAGAAAUUUCAACCAGUCUUUGCUAUAAACAAUGAGCUCAAUAUCUGAAAAUGAGGAAAAGGGAUUAGAAGCUGAGCAGAGAGAAUUAGCAGGUGAACUUCUGCAAGACAAGUAUGUGAGUUGCAGCGUACCAUUUUUAAUUUAAGUAUCUACUUGUUAUUUGAUAAUUACUUUAAAAUGAAAAUCUUGAUAUUGUCCCCUGAUGCAAUUUCACUAUGUCGAUCAAAUUGUUAUUUCGAGUUUUGAAUUGAUAGAGAUUAUAUACUUCUUUAUCAUACAUGUGUCCAUACUAAAGCCCUAUUGAGAAAUCUCUCUCUAACGUGGGAUUGUUGGAGAUAAUGAAGCCAUGUGACAAUCAUAUCAAUCUCAUGAACUUUAUGGAAGAGCUUGAUUUAGGAGUUAUCCAUGAUAAUUCAAAAUAGAAUAUACAAAAAAAGAAUUGUAAUUGACAUGGUAAUAAAAUUUGCUACUCUUUUGGUGGUCUCAACUUCAAGCCCCAUUGAAGUUAAAUCCUAAAUUCACUGGGCCAAUAUUGAGGGAAUGUGCCCUUAAGAUCACCCAAGGAGUCGGACGUCUCGUUAAGGAACGUGAAAACUAACUCGGACAAUACUUGAUCCCACUACCAAAAAAAAAAAUCACUAUAUAUGGUCAUUUCAAGUAUAUUCAUUCAUUUUAAACUCGGUAUUAUUUAAUUAUAUAUUUCCCAAAUUUAUGAUUAUCUAGAUAUUUUUUAAUUCCUCUUUUCGAGAUAUUAAAUAAAAUUUAAGUUUCUUCGUCGAACGGCGAUCACUCUCCAAUAUCGCAAAAAGAUUGAAUUUUCCUAGACAAAAUAAAUGUUAUAUAUGGCAAAUCACUUGAAAGUUAUUUUCGCUUAGUUAUUUUUAUUUUUUCUUUUUUUGGGUCUUUCGAUGAUGCUAUUGGGGAGGGAAUUAUUCUUGGGGGAUCGAUAUUCACCAUCAAGAAGAGUCCACAAACGUUAUUGUCAAAGUCUUGACUAAGAAAACACGACGCAGAAAAAAUCAAAAGCAGAAGAAAGAGGUGCAAUCACGUGCUUAUGCUUGUUAAUCUCACAGGUAGAGGUGUUAAAAUGGGUCACAAACCCAUUUAUGACCCAUUUAAAUCUUAAAUGGAUCAUAAAUGGGUCACUUGUUUAUAACAAAAGAUAAUUAAAUGGAUUUCACAAUUAUAGGUGUAAGAUAGGUGGGUCUUAAUUGGGUUUUUAAAUGAGUUGGGUUGAAAACUCAUCUUUAACAAAAACAUUAUAAUUCCUCCCUUCUCUCUUCAACUUUAUAAAAAUCCAAAUUAUAAUUUUUUUAUUUUUAUUUUCUCUUUUCUUUUUCUUCCUUUUUUUUCUUUCUUCUUUUUUUUUUUCUUUCUCUUUUUUUCUUUCUCCUUCCUCCUUCCGGUCGCCGGCACGGCGACGGCCGGCGACCGGCCAGGCGAGCCUCGAGCUCGCCGGAUCUGGCGAGGCGGAGGCCUCGCCGACGCCCGGCGAGGCUUGAGCCUCGCCGAUCUGGCGAGACUCGAGCCUGCUGGCGUCGGCCAGGCUCGAGCCUCGCCGAUCUGGCGAGCCUCGAGCUCGCCGGCAUCGUCGAGCUCGCCGGCGUCGUCAAGCUCACCGACAUUGGGCAAGGCUCGAGCCUCACCAGAUCCGACGAGGGGCGAGCUCGAGCUCGAGGCUCGCCUGUGGCCGAUCGCCGGCCGUCAUCGUGGCCAGGGGCCGACCAAAGAAGAAGAAGAAGAAGGAGAAGAAAAAAGAGAAAAAGAAAAAAGAAAAGAGAAAAAGAAAAAGAAAAUUAUAUUUUAAAAAUAAAAUAAAAAUAAUUAAAAAUUUAAUUUAAAAAAUAAAUUAAAUUUCGAUUUUUUAAAUAAUUAUUUUAAAAUUUAUAAAAAUUGUCCAUUAAAUUUAUAUUGUAUAAAAAAUUUUUAGCAAUACAAUUUUUAAAAAAAUAAUAUAUAUAUAUAUAUAUAUAUAUAUAAAAGCUUGGAAGUAUUUUAAUAAUAUAAUCUUUAAAAAAAACAUGGGAAUAAGUUUUUCUAAAUUUGUUCAAUAUGAAAUUAUUUUAUUAAUAUGAGUUAGGUCGGGUCGGGUAUGGGUUGGGUAUGGGUCGGGUUGGGUUUGGGUCGAAAAAUUUACAUUAAACAUUAAUGGGUCAUAAAUGGGUUAAUGGGUUAAUUUGGGUCGGACCAUUAAUGACCCGACCCAACCCACCCAUUUAACGGCUCUACUCACAGGACAAGUCGCAAGCACCCGAUACGAUUAUUCCUGAGGAAUCAAGAGAGGUGCGAUUUCGACUGGUGGCAUGACAGCGAGCACCAAUUCAUGUGCGGUGAGCACAUUAUGUCAGUUCAAUAGUUAGCACGUGAGAAUUUGCAUUUAAUGACAUAUUUAUUUCGUGAAAAUUAAAUAAUUUAUACGAAAUAAUUUUUUAAAAAUGAUUGUUUCUAUCACUUUUAAAAAUAAAUAAAUGAAAAAUAUUUCUACUGUCCACGAAAAUAUUUAGAAAUAUUUUUUGUUAAAAAUAAACAUAUCUUUCAUUGACUAAUUAUUUUAAGCGAUAUAAGCAAUUAUUUUUAGGAAAAUAUUUUUCAAACCAUUCAAUUUUUACGAAACAAAUGGAGCCUUAUUUCCUUCCUUUCUUUUAUUUCUUUUUGUGGUUUUUCUUCUCAAUAUUAGGGUGAAUCCCCAGGGGAUAAUUCUUGUACCUAAGAGUAGAUGAAAGAAAACCAUAUUCAUGUUGGGUUUAAAGUCGACGAAGAAGCUUUGUUAUCAAAAGUCACCUUUGGCUGAACAUCGGAUGAAGAAACUUUGUUAUUAUUCUUGCACCACCAAAGUAUAACUUUAAAUCUUAUCGUGGAACGAAUAUCUUAAUCACGAUGGUAUAACUAAUGACAUUAAAUUCACAUCAGCAAAAUCCGUUACUAGAAUGGUAAAAAAGAAGAACGAUGAACGUUUUAUAAAAGGUAUAGAAUCCACUUGAGUUGAAAAAAAAAAAAAGAUUUUUAAUCUUGUAUAAGAGUACAAAGACCGCUGAUGUUAUAAUCCCAAACCCAUUCGAUGCACAGAAGGAAUUCACUGAUUUGAGUCAGACAAUCAGUUUUUUUUUUUUUUUCUAAGUUUGUUUUCUUUUACACCCUUGAUUUUGUGUUCUAGGAAAUAAGUGGGCAAGUACACGGAUUUUAAACAAGACCAUGAGUCUCGCUGGAUGCCCGAUACAUGUGAAGACGUAUCAACUUCAGUGCUUCUCCAUGUCCAACUAUGCCUAACCCAAGAGACAGAGAGGCGUCAUUCUAUCUACAGGAAAACCUUAUCCUAAGAAAACGAUUUGAAUUGAAAGCGAAACAGUUCUUGAGAGCAUCCAUCCAAUGGGUUUAUCCUAAGGAAUCAACAUGCAUACCUUUCAAAAAUCAAUUUUAAAUUUUAAAUUGAAAAAUAAAGGGAUUUCAUAUCUAUAUAAGAGUGUAUGAAUCCUCUAAAGAGGUGAUGUGAGAUAAUUUUAACACAUAUGAUUUCAACUUAUGACUAGUCAGCAUGAUAACAACAUUAUGUCAAUUCAAUAAUUAGCACAGCAGCUUUUGCACUUGUUUUCAAUUUUAAAAAUAAAAAAAAUUGAAAAAAAUAUUUAAUAUUAGUAACAACGAUGACCUGUGUCCAUGUCAACAAUUUUUGGCCAAAUGGAUUCCAUUAGCUAAAUGUAAAAUUCUUUAGAACUAAAUGGGCAUUAUUAAAUGAUUUAUAACUGAAUUAACAAAAAUGAAUUUCGUGACGUUUUGGACAAUUUUCCCCAUUGGAAUUGACUCGCUUAUUUAAAUAUUCAAUCGCAUUCACCACACCGGCUGGUUCUCCCUUGGAAUCGAGAACCAAACUAUUUGGACACCAGUUCCAAUUUUAGAAACCAAGAACUAGACCAAUACUUCUUGAAACUGGACUAAACCAGCCAGUCCGAUUCAGUCUAGGCCGAUUCAGUUUGAACGGUUUCUGAUUUGGGCAUCUGUCUCUCGGUAAACCGUAGGACAGCCCAUUUCGUUUCUUAUUACUAGCCUUUCCAAUCCGUGAUUACAAGGGUAUCUAGAGUAGGCCCAAUUAUUGGAUGGACUUGGGCGGGCUGAAUUUGAACUUUGCCCAACGAAGAAAGCAAUGCAAAAAGGCUUGGUGGCCUUAGACCGAUCGGCCGAAGAUCGAUAUCCAAGCUCACCCAAUUGCCCCGCGAACCCGUCGGGUCCGUCCAUCGCGAGUUCCCGAUUAGGUCCAUUUUUUCUCUAAAACCAAAUUAAACCCAUGCGCACAUCAUGAAACACGAACCGAUAUUGAGUCAUGACCAACUUGUCAAAUCUCCAAAAUGGCAAAGGCAAUCUCUUUCAUUUAGAGGAUGUUUUUAUAGCAUACCGAAGAAUUGAAAAUAAUACAGGUAUAAACGAGAGGAAUCUUAAUUUGCGUUGCGUAUAAAUUGUCACCAAAGCUAUUAAAGUAGUGAAGGGCAAAACCCCUACAAAUUGAGCUCAUGAGCUACUUUCAUUAAUUGGCCAACACUAUUUUUACUCUACGUAAAAUUUUGUCCCUUAUGGGCAAAAUGUGACCGUAUAGUUGGUACCACCUGGGCAAGUGAAGGUUGCUGGAUCAUCUCGUGGGUAGCUAAAAGCAUCCGGGCACCUAUCCUUGAAAAAUUGGGAGUAAGCAGUGGAGCCACAGCUCUCGGACGCAUCGUUGCAACAAUACUGGGCGGUCUUGAACACUGUGCACGGAUCGUUGCACCCCCCAGGGGCCUUCAGCACCUCUGGGCACUGGUUGUUGAUGUCAUCUGAGCACUUGAUCCCCCUGCACGCACCGGUGGUGGGCCUCAAUUGCAUGGGGAUGUUGAAACCGUUGACGAGCGAUAUGUCCAGGAUGUCCCGACCGUUCUGGCUCGAGUUGAACUCUGCGACGGUGCUGGGCGGGCUACCGGAGCUUGAGCAGUCCAAGAGUAGGUCGCAGUCGCCAGUCUCGCACCGGCCCUGGCCGUUGGCGUCGAAGCUGCAAUUGGUCCGGCCCCAUAUGCGCCUUGUGGUUGUGCCCGCGCCCACAGAUAGGACCCACGUCUGGCCAGGGUCAAGCCUGCGCCCGCCACCAGGUGUUGCCGCGGCCCAAACAGUGUAUGUGCAUUGAUUGACAACCCUAAAAGUAGCUGCAUCUUUAAAAGUAGCUGCAUCUGUAAAAGUAACUGCAGCAGAGGGGACGAGAUUAGGGACGGAGGCCGAGUAUUGAGCUCAUAUAGGUUCUUGAACACUUGACCGGGACACAAGUGCUAGAACCGCUUGAAGAAGAGCCAUUUUUUCCAUUGAGCUCCCCUCGCUGAUUAUUUUGACUCGCAGAGAGGGGGUCUAUGUAGAUUGAGGAACCAUAGACUUGGCGUAAGGAAUGGGGAAAUCGACGAUAAAAUGCCAGUGAACUUUCCCAGAAAUUUCUGUGCUGACGAUCGUGUCAAAUGGGGGACAAACCACGAGUCAACGAAUGGAUAUACGCGCCUUUCACGGAGGCCGCGUAAGGACUGAGGACUAAAGAGAUCGAGAGAGGAACUUCUCUCAGUUUGAUUUAGUCAAAGCACAUGUCAUCGAUAGAAACUAGAAACCCGUGACUACACGGCAUCACUCUUUCGGGUUGGUCUUCCCACCCACCACUACGUGCGCCAAAAAUUUAACUCCGCUCUUGUCGGUCGUCGGAUUCAAGGUUCAUUGAAUCUUGCGUCGGUGUCCGAUCUAAAAAAUGUCAAUGUCGAGUCUUUCGAAUUUGAACGCGGCAAGUUCCCUUUGAUUUGAUUAUAUGCAUGGAAAUUUUACCCGGCAUUCUUGUUAGUCAUCAGAUUUUUUUGUCACAGCCGACUAUAGAUCUUCCGUGGAUGUGCGAUCUAAAACUUGUCAACGUAAAAUGUGAACGCAGUAAAUAUGCUUUGGUUUUGUUCAUGGCCAAGUAGAUUGAGCCCUUCCUUUCUCUAAUGAUAUGAUCACUGAGAAUAGAUAAUAAUCAACAUGUCCAUUUAAAAGAUAAAGUAUUGAAUACAUUUCACGUCAACGACGCGAUGUUAAUUAUUUAUGUUUGUUAGGUAUAAUUUGUCAAUAUUUCAUAAGGAUUAUGUCAAAACCCAACUAAAGAAUAUUUGUUAUUUUCAAAGCAUUAUCCCUCUCGUGUCAUGUGUAACCAUAUAUUCAAAAUAGUAAAAAAAAAAAACUUUUCUUACUGGAUAUGAUAAACGAGUGAUCUAGUGAGUGCACUCAUUGACAAGAUCCAUACUAGAAUACCCAUAUAAACUUGUGCAGCCACAUAAAUCAUAGACGUACUUACUCAUAAGUUGGUUUAAUUGACUAGGGUUCUAUGCAAAAGUGUUCCAAGAGCAAUAAUUAAAUAAUCAAAUAAGUAAAUAUUGCGAUUUUGAAUGCACUACCUAGUCUAACGAUAUGCACAAUCACCAUUAAUUGAUGCUUUAUUAGCAAAUUAGGCUUCCUUUUAUUUAAUUUUAUGUUAGGUCCUCUCGUUGCACCUUCUAGAGAACAACCACAAAAGAAAAGAACAACUCAAAACGAUUCAGGCUCCAUUUAUUUUAUGAAAAACAAAUAAUUAAAAAAAAUUAAAAAUUAAUUAUUGUAUCAUUUAUAUUAGUUAAUAUACAAUGUUUUCAACAUCAACAAUAAUUUAUGUCUAAAUAAUUUUGUAGACGAUAAAAUGUUUGUUGUUAAUUCAAUUUAUUUAUUUAUUUUUGUGAUUUAAGCAAUCAUUUGUUUAAAACCUCGAAGGCAGACAUCACUUUGAGACCUUUGUUUAGUCAAGACAAGACUAAUCAAACUCGCAGUUGUAAUGAAACUCCUUGGAAAAAUAUUUGAUUUAACUUUCAGUCAAGCACGUAAAAUUCAAUUCUCCCGUUAAUCGCGGCAUCUCGGUCGGGUCUCAACAUGUUUUUUAGUCCUUAUUCCCUGCAUAUUUUUAGGCCGAGGUUGAAUUCUUUUAUUUUGGUCGGGGUCAAGGUUGAAUUGACUAUUAUCAAAAUAGAUCUAAUUUUUUUUGGCUUUUUUUUCUUCUGAAACCCCUCCGCAGAAAAUAUUGAAAAGAUUAAUAGCUGCAGAAAUAAUCUCAGGGGCCAAAUCACGGUAAAAACGCACAAAAGAAGACAAAAAAAAAUGGUUAGUUUAUCACCAAAAAGUUUAUAAGAGAGAUUAUUUCUAACCUUUUUUCAGAAAAUAAUAGAGAGCAUCGUCUAUUUCCAUACUUACAUUUGUUAGGGCAGAACACAACCCUAUAGUCGGUUCCAGCACGGCAGGUGAAAGUACUGGUUAAAUCAUCCUUAGGGUAACUGUAAGCAUCGGGGCACCUGUCCUUGAAGAACUUGGAGAAAUUCGUGGGCCCGCAACUUCCGGAGUUGCAGCAGUACUCGUCGGUCCUGAACACGGCGCAGGGGCCGUUGCAACCGCCGGGCGCCUUCAGCUCAGCAGGGCACUCGCCAUUGAUGUCGGCCGUGCACUUGAUCCCACUGGUGCACCCAUCGGAGGUCGGGCUGAAGCCCAUGGGGACGUUGAAGCCGUCGACCAGGGAGAUGUCAAAGAAAUCCUUGCCGCCGAACUGGUUCAGUUCAUACUCGGCCAGGGUGUUUGGGGGCUGGCCGGAUGAUGUGCACUCGCGGACGCCGCCACAGUCACCAGUCUUGCACUUGCCCUUCCCGGCCGCAUCAAAUUGGCAGUUAGUCCGGGCCCAGAUACGGGCUUGUUUCGUACCGGGGCUCACGUUCAGGCUCCAGGACUGGCCUCGGGCAAGCCGUCGGCCACCUCCUGGGAGGGCCGCAGCCCAGACCGUGUAAGGGCAAUCGUUCCUAAUAUUGAAAGUGGCAGCAUUGGCGCAAGUGAGGAAGAGGGAGAGCAAGAGGAUGGAGGCAAUGCAAAUGGCAUGGGAGCGAGCCAUGCUUGGGGUUUGCUGAGAAUUAGGGUUUGUGUGAUUUCUCUAAGUGAUAGUGCUUGUGGAGUAGUUUGGUGGGUAAUGAAGACAUACAUGAGGGUUUAUAUGGGGGCGAGGGUGGCUAAGGAUUGUUGGAGAGAGGCCAACAGGUGUUCCUACAAAAUUAGCUGAUUGAAUAUUAGACGCGGUUCGAUAACGUCGUCCUUGGCUUGGCUCGAAGACGAGUAGACGAGUCAAGAACGAAGAUAAAGCCUCCAGGAUGCACAGACCAAUGAGAAAGUGACGCGUCAGCGUGCGCCAAGUCAGCGUGCGCCCCCGUCCAAUGUUAAAGUGACGCGUGGCUCUACGUGUGCGCCAUGGACCCACUGGUUUUCUGCACAAAAUAUAUUAUUUUCCCUUUUUUAUUUAAAAAUUUACGGCCCUUUUUUUUUUUUUUUUGGUCGCUAAUUUACGGCCCUUAGUAGACUUGCUGUUGCUUUUUUCUCUCCCCUCUCUUUUGGAGUGGGCCUGCACGCAUUAAUGGCGCUUUCUCGCUUCUCCUUUCUGAAGAAUGGAUACCCCCACGCUGCAGCUUCCCUUCCCUCCUUUCUUUCCUUUUCCAUUCAAAAUUUUGGGUGAGAAUUCGCUCUCUAAGUUGCUUUGCUUCUCCAGCCGGCUCCAGGGCUGGGUCGUCUCCGCUCUCUAGCCCAAAGCACGUUGCUCCUCCACCUUGCUCCGGCGCUGGCUCAUCUUCGCUCUCUGCCCCAAAGCACGUUGCUUCUUCGGCCUGCAUCGUUGUGUUCCUUCUCCCCUCUGCUCCGGUGUGGUUUCCUUGCGCAAGACGGCGAGGAAUGUUCUUGCUGUAAGUCGUAGACUCCAAGCAAUAAGAAGUUCCAGCUCUCUCCGAUUCAGCUUCGGAUCUGCUACAUUCGCGGCUCAUAACAGUGAGUUGAUUUGGCGAAUGCUUGCCGCUACCGGCUGCGUGCGGCGAUGGAGGUGGAGAGAGCGAGUGGAGGAAGGUGAUGGAGGCGUCAUUCGGAAAGCUGGACGAGGUUGGAGGAAAGGAGGUGGACGCAUCGAUCAGGACGGCGGGGUCGACGGCGGUGGUGGCGGUGGUGGGGAAGGAGGAGGUUGUGGUCGCAAACUGCGGGGAUUCGUGAGCGGUGUUUUGUCGUGGCGAUGUGGUCAUGCCCUUGUCUGUUGAUCACAAGGUGAGCUCUCGCUUUGUGUUUGUUCGUUUCCAUUGAAGCUGUGGAGCUCAGGGGAUCUAAUCUUGUUCUUCUUCCCCCCAAAAGACACUUCAUUUUUUUUAAUUUUUUAUUUUUUUGGUAAGCCCGAGAAGACACUUCAUUUAUUCAAACAUGUUGCCAGAAAUCUUGAUCUACAAGUCUUAUCCUUUUUGUCUACUUCGUGUCGUUUCUGGGUUAUACUUCCAAAAGAUCACUUGGUGUUCUUUCAAAGGUGCUUAAUUUAUUAGGUUGACUUUGGGGUCAUGCUUCGCAGGGUGGACAUCCUAUGAUUAGGGGAACUUGCUACACUCUGGCAUUCUCUGUUUUUCGUUCAUGGUUAUGUAGACAGGCUGAAGCCCAUCUUGCCUGUUGGUUUAAUCAAUGAACUAGAAUUCAUCCCUGUGAUCUUUUGUGGUCAGCCACACAUUGUUCAUUCUGCAAUUCUUUCAUAGAACGCUGUUGAAAUCACUUCAACUCGCCACAAACGGGUAAUAGCUAGUGGUGCCCCAUCGCAAUAUGGCAUGUUACUGGGUUGAUAAAUGAACGCAAACCUUUGAAAGCUCUUGCCAAUACUUUUAUGCCGUCUCUUCUUCAAUGACAUGUCUAUUUUCUGAUAUUGAAACAGUAACAAGGUCUUCAGCCAGUGAAAGAGAGUAAAGUCAUCUUCAUAUUGAAAUGGUACAGUUUGAAACGUGGGAAGAUUUUCCUGAGCAACAUCUUUAGACCAUUUGUCACAGUAGAUACUAAAUUAGUUGCCAAUGCCAAAUCGGUAGCAGAAUAAAUUACUUGAACUAAAGUGAAAAUAGUUACGUCUUGUCAUGUGUCAUACCUUGAGUUAAAUCUCUUGGAUUUCGAUUAAAAUGGCUUACUAACUCCCCUGAAUAGCCUGACAGGCCUGAUGAGAAGGAGAGAGUGGAAGUAGCCAGCGGAAGGGUCACAGAUUGGAAUGGAUCCUGAGUCCUAGGCAUGCUUGCUACAUCGAGGUCAAUUGGUAUGUGGAACUUCAUCGAUCAAAUGGCUGUAAUGAUGGACUUUAUUCGAUGCUUUUAUGCAUGUAAUGUUGGUUUCCAAUUGCACUGAUUACUUCAGCAAGUGCUGAGUAAGUCGAAUUUGUGGUUAGCAUUAGUACUAUUGUGGUGUCAAACCUCUGUGCUUGAAGGGAACAUAUUGAAUCACUCAGAUUCUAUAUUGGUAACAAGUUGUUUGAGUGCACCUUAGAAUUGGUAACUGCAGCCUUUUGACAUGUACUGAAACAAUGCCGAGGGCGAAUUACCAACAGGGAUCAAUAACCAACACCUCCCAUGCAGAAGUUUUAGGUGGAGACUGGCUUUUUCUUUUGUACGUGUGCCAUUGUGUGGUGUCUGUAUCUGAUAACGGCGUUUACUUGCUGCAGGGGACUAUUAUUUGAAGCAAUACGUGAUGACUGAGCCAGAGGUCACGGUAAGCAAGAGAACAAAGUUGGACGACUUCCUUGUGAUAGCAAGCAAUGGGUUAUGGGAUGCACA